rnacentral:sRNA from 1 species
UGAGCCAUCUCUCCAGUCCUAGAAGAGGGCCUCCUAACGAUAUUCUCCUCAAGCAGCCCUUUUCCUUUGUCUGCACCUGUGUCCACAGCCAUGACGUGAAGUCCCUCCAACAUAAGAAAAGUACCUAGCAUGCUUCUACACAUAGGAAAAGUUCCAAGCUUCCCAAGCGAUCCAAGGCUUCUGCGAGAAUGAGCAGAGAAGGAAGCUUGCAGGCCUAGUACUUCUGACUUGGAUGCCAUCUCUCCAGAGCUAAGCAAAAUGAAUGUGAAAUUUGAUGACAGACUGAGGAUCAUUGCAGUCCCCAAAGAAGACACAUGAAUGGCCAAAGAUUUGCAUUUCGUCAUUAAGUCUCAGAAGCAGCUUUGCGAAGUCGGCAGCAGGAAGGGAAGGAGAUGUUCUGGAUGGUUCUGUCUCCAAAGGCCCACCAAGGAACAGAAAACAAGGUCUAUCCUAUGUAAGAGAGGGAGCCAGGAUGAGAACCUGCUUCAGCUGGUGUCCUUAGAGGAUCACACCUACAGGGAAAAUGUAAGUUAAGAAACAAAAUGAAACAAAGCUACCUGUCUGCUAGCUCAGCAAGAUAAUAGGAAAGCAGAUUGUCCUCUGCGGGGCCCUUGGUGGACCAGGUGUCUUACACACACAGGUUAGGUUUGAAUCUGUAUAACCCAGAAGGAUGGAGACUCACAAGCCAAAGCUUUCAUAUAAAAAGGGGACCCAGGCUGCUUAUCAGCUUGAUUUACUCCAAAAGUAAAAGUGGUAAUCUUUUGCUGAAGGACUAAUCCAGAAUCUAGGAUGAGAGGAAUCUCACAGAGAUGAGAACACAACCCACCAUGUUCAAGAGAGGGAGAAUGAGAUGACUAGGACCAGGCUGGAAACUGGAGUAUGGGAAGGUAGAGGAGAAUGUGAGCUUGUCUAAAUUUAACAAAGAAUGUACUCAUGAAUGACACAUAUACACAGUUGCUUAUUGCAGUGAUGCAAAGCAAAGCAAACACAAGGGCAACCUGGAUAGAACAACCCAUGCCAUUGUUUGGAGGACUGAUUAAAAAAAACCGAGCAAACCAGUAGUGAAGAAACACCCCAUGUUCACUAAUAUGAAUCUAGGGAUGUCUCAGUAAUUAAAAACAACUUUUCUAUACUUAGCCAUUUGAUUAAAGAAGUGAGCUUAUGUGUGUGAAAACAAUUUAUAUUUUUGUGUAUAGUAAUUGUUGGCAUU